GUAGGGACUCUGGGUCAGGGGGGUGGCGAGCCAUCGAUACAGUGACAACUUAUUCGAGUGGCCAGUGGGCUGCGCCAGAGAGAUGCCCCUCCAGAUACUGAAGCUGAUGGGGCUGGAGCAGGGUCUGUGUCCAAGGGCCAUAACUCUGCUAGACCAGAAAACGAUGGCGAGGUUAAAGGAGAAAAUAAGUUACAUUUACAGUUUCCAAAGUGGUUCUCACUCUCUGCUGAAGAUGGGCCACGGGCACUGUCGGCCCCAGGUCGUACUUUGCAAGAAGAGGGAAUAUAACUAGCCUGGUUAUUUUAGGUUAAAAUAGCCAAGAGACAGACGCCUUCGCCUCAAAAAUAUUCUGAGACACAUACAAGUAGAAGGAAACAAGUCUCUUCAGUCACAAAAUGUCGUACAUCCCGCAUAUACUAGAUUCAAUUAAUUUAAUAAAAUAGAAUAUACAUAGA